CAGUCGUACCGGCGGAUAAUCAGCCUUUCGGGUGCGAUUCUGUGGGGCGUGAGGAGCUUAACCGCCUUCAUGUUUUGCAUAUUCGUGCACAUAUGGUGUACUUGUCCGUGUGGUGGGUUAACAUCAAUUUCGGUCGUCAUAAAAUGAUUGGAGGAAUGUAGCUUUGAUCUCGUACGA
rnacentral:rRNA from 1 species